UACGUAGGGGGGCAAGCGUUUGUCCGGAAUCAUUGGGCGUAAAGCGCGUGUAGGCGGCCCGGUAAGUCCGCUGUGAAAGUCCAGGGCUCAACCCUGGAAUGCCGGUGGAUACUGUCGGGCUCGAGUCCGGAAGAGGCGGAGUGGAAUUCCGGGUGUAGUGGUGGAAUGCGUAGAGAUCCGGAGGAACACCAGCGGCGAAGGCGGCAUCCUGGACUGGUCCUGACACUCAUGAGCGAAAGCGUGGGGAGCGAUCCGG
rnacentral:rRNA from 1 species